rnacentral:lncRNA from 1 species
CGCUACUUCUCGCGAGAGCGGUAGGAAAGGUCGGCCGCGGGCCGUCAGCGUUGGGCCUUAAGUGAGAAGUUUGCGACGUAGCGCCCGGGGCGCUGUUCGAGGUCUUCGGGUUGACCUUCUCCGCCAUUAUGGUUUGUCGCUGAGUUGUGGUGCAGCGGUCUGGGGCCUUUUUGUGGCACUGAGCCUUAGGACUGCCAUGGGGCUGCUGUGGUGAGGCCGGCAUCUGGGUAGCACUAUUCUGCCCUCCAAAAUAUGCUUUUGGUUCACUGCAGUAUCCCCCACUGCUACAUUUCAUAACCACAUUCAGCACCAGCUGUAUCUACAGAAUCACAGAAUCACAGGUUGAGGUUGGCAGGGGUCUCUGGAUCCAUCUGGUCCAGCUCCAAACCCUGCCCAGGCAGGAGCAUCCACAGCAGUUGUGCAGGACCAUCUCCAGGCAGCUUUUGAAGAUAUCUGAGGAAAGAGACUCCACAGAGAGGAAGACUCUCUAGACAACCUGUUCCAUUGCUCCACCACCUGCAUAACACAGCAGANNNNNNNNNNNNNNNNNNNNNNNNNNNNNNNUCCUGCUGCCCAGGAGCAAACUUCUGUGUUUCAGCAGCUUGUGUCCAUUCUGUCCUGUUCUGUCAGUGGGCACCACCAGAAAAAGACUGGCUACAUCCUCUUUGCAGCCUCCCCUAGAUGCAGACACACUUGAUGAGGCAAGUAGAAGCUUCCAUAUUUAUUUUCCACAAAGAAAAAAAAAAUAAAAACAAAAACAACAACA